rnacentral:rRNA from 1 species
AUUGAACGCUGGCGGCAGGCCUAACACAUGCAAGUCGAACGGUAACAGGAAACAGCUUGCUGUUUCGCUGACGAGUGGCGGACGGGUGAGUAAUGUCUGGGAAACUGCCUGAUGGAGGGGGAUAACUACUGGAAACGGUAGCUAAUACCGCAUAACGUCGCAAGACCAAAGAGGGGGACCUUCGGGCCUCUUGCCAUCGGAUGUGCCCAGAUGGGAUUAGCUAGUAGGUGGGGUAACGGCUCACCUAGGCGACGAUCCCUAGCUGGUCUGAGAGGAUGACCAGCCACACUGGAACUGAGACACGGUCCAGACUCCUACGGGAGGCAGCAGUGGGGAAUAUUGCACAAUGGGCGCAAGCCUGAUGCAGCCAUGCCGCGUGUAUGAAGAAGGCCUUCGGGUUGUAAAGUACUUUCAGCGGGGAUGAAGGGAGUAAAGUUAAUACCUUUGCUCAUUGACGUUACCCGCAGAAGAAGCACCGGCUAACUCCGUGCCAGCAGCCGCGGUAAUACGGAGGGUGCAAGCGUUAAUCGGAAUUACUGGGCGUAAAGCGCACGCAGGCGGUUUGUUAAGUCAGAUGUGAAAUCCCCGGGCUCAACCUGGGAACUGCAUCUGAUACUGGCAAGCUUGAGUCUCGUAGAGGGGGGUAGAAUUCCAGGUGUAGCGGUGAAAUGCGUAGAGAUCUGGAGGAAUACCGGUGGCGAAGGCGGCCCCCUGGACGAAGACUGACGCUCAGGUGCGAAAGCGUGGGGGAGCAAACAGG